UACGUAGGGCGCAAGCGUUGUCCGGAAUUAUUGGGCGUAAAGAGCUCGUAGGCGGUCUGUUACGUCCGCUGUGAAAACCCAGGGCUUAACCCUGGGCUUGCAGUGGAUACGGGCAGACUAGAGGCAGGUAGGGGAGAAUGGAAUUCCCGGUGUAGCGGUGAAAUGCGCAGAUAUCGGGAGGAACACCGGUGGCGAAGGCGGUUCUCUGGGCCGGACCUGACGCUGAGGAGCGAAAGCGUGGGGAGCGAACAGG
rnacentral:rRNA from 1 species